rnacentral:rRNA from 1 species
AGAGUUUGAUCCUGGCUCAGAACGAACGCUGGCGGCGUGGAUAAGACAUGCAAGUCGAACGAGAGAAUUGCUAGCUUGCUAAUAAUUCUCUAGUGGCGCACGGGUGAGUAACACGUGAGUAACCUGCCCCCGAGAGCGGGAUAGCCCUGGGAAACUGGGAUUAAUACCGCAUAGUAUCGAAAGAUUAAAGCAGCAAUGCGCUUGGGGAUGGGCUCGCGGCCUAUUAGUUAGUUGGUGAGGUAACGGCUCACCAAGGCGAUGACGGGUAGCCGGUCUGAGAGGAUGUCCGGCCACACUGGAACUGAGACACGGUCCAGACACCUACGGGUGGCAGCAGUCGAGAAUCAUUCACAAUGGGGGAAACCCUGAUGGUGCGACGCCGCGUGGGGGAAUGAAGGUCUUCGGAUUGUAAACCCCUGUCAUGUGGGAGCAAAUUAAAAAGAUAGUACCACAAGAGGAAGAGACGGCUAACUCUGUGCCAGCAGCCGCGGUAAUACAGAGGUCUCAAGCGUUGUUCGGAAUCACUGGGCGUAAAGCGUGCGUAGGCUGUUUCGUAAGUCGUGUGUGAAAGGCGCGGGCUCAACCCGCGGACGGCACAUGAUACUGCGAGACUAGAGUAAUGGAGGGGGAACCGGAAUUCUCGGUGUAGCAGUGAAAUGCGUAGAUAUCGAGAGGAACACUCGUGGCGAAGGCGGGUUCCUGGACAUUAACUGACGCUGAGGCACGAAGGCCAGGGGAGCGAAAGGGAUUAGAUACCCCUGUAGUCCUGGCAGUAAACGGUGCACGCUUGGUGUGCGGGGAAUCGACCCCCUGCGUGCCGGAGCUAACGCGUUAAGCGUGCCGCCUGGGGAGUACGGUCGCAAGAUUAAAACUCAAAGAAAUUGACGGGGACCCGCACAAGCGGUGGAGUAUGUGGCUUAAUUCGAUGCAACGCGAAGAACCUUACCUGGGCUUGACAUGUAAUGAACAACAUGUGAAAGCAUGCGACUCUUCGGAGGCGUUACACAGGUGCUGCAUGGCCGUCGUCAGCUCGUGUCGUGAGAUGUUUGGUUAAGUCCAGCAACGAGCGCAACCCCUGUUGCCAGUUACCAGCACGUGAAGGUGGGGACUCUGGCGAGACUGCCCAGAUCAACUGGGAGGAAGGUGGGGACGACGUCAGGUCAGUAUGGCCCUUAUGCCCAGGGCUGCACACGUACUACAAUGCCCAGUACAGAGGGGGCCGAAGCCGCGAGGCGGAGGAAAUCCUAAAAACUGGGCCCAGUUCGGACUGUAGGCUGCAACCCGCCUACACGAAGCCGGAAUCGCUAGUAAUGGCGCAUCAGCUACGGCGCCGUGAAUACGUUCCCGGGUCUUGCACUCAACGCCCGUCA